rnacentral:rRNA from 1 species
GAUGAACGCUGGCGGCGUGCCUAAUACAUGCAAGUCGAGCGAACAGACGAGGAGCUUGCUCCUCUGACGUUAGCGGCGGACGGGUGAGUAACACGUGGAUAACCUACCUAUAAGACUGGGAUAACUUCGGGAAACCGGAGCUAAUACCGGAUGAUAUAUUGAACCGCAUGGUUCAAUAGUGAAAGACGGUUUUGCUGUCACUUAUAGAUGGAUCCGCGCCGCAUUAGCUAGUUGGUAAGGUAACGGCUUACCAAGGCAACGAUGCGUAGCCGACCUGAGAGGGUGAUCGGCCACACUGGAACUGAGACACGGUCCAGACUCCUACGGGAGGCAGCAGUAGGGAAUCUUCCGCAAUGGGCGAAAGCCUGACGGAGCAACGCCGCGUGAGUGAUGAAGGUCUUCGGAUCGUAAAACUCUGUUAUUAGGGAAGAACAAAUAUGUAAGUAACUAUGCACGUCUUGACGGUACCUAAUCAGAAAGCCACGGCUAACUACGUG